rnacentral:lncRNA from 10 species
GAGAAUCCCGGCUAGCAGCGUGGGAGCUGGCAGGGCUUCUGCAAGCCCUCUGCUCCCACCCUGGCCCCAUUUCACAGACGAGGAAACAAAGGCCCAAAGAAGAGUUCCGCCCGGGACGGAACGUGGCAUAGCUCGCAACAGAACCCAGUCUCCGGAGAUCCCUCUCCUCUGCACCACUUGGACGUUCCACGGAGAGGCAGCGGUGCGCGGGGCGACGGGGAGCUGCCAGAGAAGUCAGUGGCAGUGGGGAGCCAUGGAAAGUUUCUGAACAGAGAAGCACUUAUUGGGAACUGUCAGAGCUAUGCUUCAGGAGAUGAAUCUGGCAACAACGUGGGUUAAUAUUAAUGCCCUGUACAUCCUGAGUACAUGUUUCCAGAAAGAGGUGAUCCAGGAGGCUGCCAAGUGGCCUGCAGGUGACAUCCAGAGGGCAGAAAAUGCCCAUGCAGGUCCACGUGUGGGUCCUUAAGCCCCUUGAGGAAAAGGGAGGAGAAAAGGACAAAGAAGGCUCUCCCUUUCCCUUGGAUCCCCUUCUACUCCCACAUGCCUAGUGGGAGCCUCCCUCUUCUGCUUGAGCCUUCAGGACAGGUUCAGGACCCUGUCUCCUACCUGGCUGGGCCAGAAAUGAGGAACAUGUUGCAAGCCUUCCUCCACCUGACUUGCCAAGUCCAUACAGGCUGGGGCCUUAGAUCCAACAACUUAGAAAGGGUGCCCACACUCCUGUUCUUUAGAAGAAAGGGACGGCAGGAGUCUGAUCAUCUGUCCGAUGCCCACACAGUGGCUGUGCUGAGUGACGUGUUGUUUUGAGGAUGUCCCUACCCCCUGGUCUUGCCGUCGGUCUCCAGUACCCAGCGAAGCAAGCUGUGGGCUCUGAGGAGCUCACACCAGGGAGGAGCUGCCCUGGAGUGGAGCAACAGCAUGUCCUCUCCCCUGUGUGACUGCAGUGCUAUAAUAAUAAUAACAGAAAGCUGGCAUUUCUUGAGCUCUUACUGUGUGCCAGAGACACCGCUCUAAGUGCUUACACAUAUGUAUUCGUUUUCUGUAGUUGCUGUAACAAAUUAUCACAAACUUUAAACAUUGAACUUAUGGCAUAAAGCAACACAAAUGUAUUAUCGUGUAGCUCUGUGGUAGGUUAGGAGUCUGACACAAGUCUCACUGGGCUAACAAUCCAGAUGUUGGGGCCAGGCGCGGUGGCUCACGCCUGUAAUCCCAGCACUUUGAGAGGCCA